rnacentral:rRNA from 1 species
GACGAACGCUGGCGGCGUGCUUAACACAUGCAAGUCGAACGGAAAGGCCCUGCUUUUGUGGGGUGCUCGAGUGGCGAACGGGUGAGUAACACGUGAGUAACCUGCCCUUGACUUUGGGAUAACUUCAGGAAACUGGGGCUAAUACCGGAUAGGAGCUCCUGCUGCAUGGUGGGGGUUGGAAAGUUUCGGCGGUUGGGGAUGGACUCGCGGCUUAUCAGCUUGUUGGUGGGGUAGUGGCUUACCAAGGCCUUGACGGGUAGCCGGCCUGAGAGGGUGACCGGCCACAUUGGGACUGAGAUACGGCCCAGACUCCUACGGGAGGCAGCAGUGGGGAAUAUUGCACAAUGGGCGGAAGCCUGAUGCAGCAACGCCGCGUGCGGGAGGACGGCCUUCGGGUUGUAAACCGCUUUCGCCUGUGACGAAGCGUGAGUGACGGUAAUGGGUAAAGAAGCACCGGCUAACUACGU